UUGAGCUCAGAUCAGGUAGGACUACCGCCUGAACUUAAGCAUAUCAAUAAGGCGAGGAACAGAAACCAACAGGGAUUCCCCUAGUAGUGGCGAAUGAAGCGGGAAAAGCUCAAGUUUGAAAUCUGGCGGGUGACCUCCAGAGUUGUAAGCUGGAGAGGCAUAGACCGACGCGGUCCGGGCUCAAUUUCCUUGGAACAGGAGGUCAUGGAGGGUGAGAACCCCGUCUGUGGCUCGAGUGCCGUCGUCCUUGCGUCUUGCCCUCGUAGAGUCGGGUUGUUUGGGAAUGCAGCUCAAAAUGGGUGGUAAAUUUCAUCUAAAGCUAAAUAUUGGCGAGAGACCGAUAGCAAACAAGUAGAGUGAUCGAAAGAUGAAAAGUACUUUGAAAAGAGAGUGAAACAGUACGUGAAAUUGUUGAAAGGGAAGCGUUUGGCAUCAGCUCAUGCGCUCGAAGAUCAUCCGGGCUUCUGUCCGGUGCACUUUUCGAGCGUUGGGCCAGCGUCGAC
rnacentral:rRNA from 1 species